rnacentral:rRNA from 1 species
UUGGAGGGCAAGUCUGGUGCCAGCAGCCGCGGUAAUUCCAGCUCCAAUAGCGUAUAUUAAAGUUGUUGCAGUUAAAAAGCUCGUAGUUGAAUUUCGGGGUCAGUAGGUUGGUCAUGCCACUGGUAUGUACUGGUCUCACUGAUUCCUCCUUCCUGAUGAGCCGUAAUGCCAUUAAUUUGGUGUUGCGAGGAAUCUGGACUGUUACUUUGAAAAAAUUAGAGUGUUUAAAGCAGGCUAACGCUUGAAUACAUUAGCAUGGAAUAGUGAAAUAGGACGGAUGGUUCUAUUUUGUUGGUUUCUAGGAUCACCGUAAUGAUUAAUAGGGAUAGUUGGGGGCAUUAGUAUUCAAUUGUCAGAGGUGAAAUUCUUGGAUUUAUUGAAGACUAACUACUGCGAAAGCAUUUGCCAAGGAUGUUUUCAUUAAUCAAGAACGAAAGUUAGGGGAUCGAAGACGAUCAGAUACCGUCGUAGUCUUAACCAUAAACUAUGCCGACUAGGAAUCAGACGAUGUUAAUUUUUUAAUGACUCGUUUGGCACCUUACGGGAAACCAAAGUGUUUGGGUUC